rnacentral:rRNA from 1 species
UCCCCCCCCUUUUUUUUUCAAAACAUGGUUUUUUUGUUUAUAUAAAAGAUCUAACCUGCCCUAUGAUUAAUUAAAUGGCUGCAGUAUAUUGACUGUACAAAGGUAGCAUAAUCAUUUGUCUUUUAAUUGAAGGCUAGUAUGAAUGGUUGGAUGAAAAAUAUACUUUCUUAUUUUUAUAUUAAAAAUUUAAUUUUCUAGUCAAAAAUCUGGAAUAAUUUUAAAGGACGAGAAGACCCUAUAGAACUUUAUUAUCAUUACUUAUGAUUUUUAUAGAUUAUUUUAAAGUAAUAAGUUUUUGUUAAUUUUGUUGGGGUGACAAAAAAAAUAUUAUAACUUUUUUUAUUAUUUACAUUUAUUAAUGUUAUUUUGAUCCUAUAUUAUGGAUUAUAAGAUUAAGUUACCUUAGGGAUAACAGCGUUAUUUUCUUGGAGAGUACAUAUCGAUAAGGAAGUUUGCGACCUCGAUGUUGGAUUAAAAUUAGUCUCAGGAGCAGAAUAUUGUGGACUAGGUCUGUUCGACCUUUAAAUUUUUACAUGAUCUAGGGU